GCCACCCGAGCACGCUCUCCUUGCGCGAGCACAGCAGCCCGGACAAGGCACCGCGAGGGGGCGGAGGGACGAGGGAGAGGCGGGGUCGAGUCCGCGGGGCGGAGCCAGAGACAGCGCCCACGGCGGCCGCCAUCUUGAAAGAGGGCAAAGACACUCCUGACGCUCUCCGCCUUUCAGCUCGUUUCAAACGCCAGUGCCAUGUUGGAUCACGAAUGAAGCAUUGGCAAGAAUGUGGAGAAAAAGGAACCCUCCUGCCCUGAUGGAUAUAAUCAGUUCCUUGAGAGAGGAUAUUUCUGACACAACUUAGCAUCUCUGACUACCAGAAGAAUAGGGGCUUAGUUUCAGGAGCAGGUAUUACUCUAAUUUUAUAGACAAGAAAACUGAAGCACAAACUACACAACUCCAGUAGGAGGUGCAGCUGGAACCGACUCCCCUUGGCUGAUUAACCAGGUUUGCUAAGCCCUACCCUAGACUUCUGUAGUGUUUGUCUUCAGUGAACAGGUCAGGUGCUUUCUGGAGAGAGAUCUGGGACUUCAUGGACCUUACAGAGUAGGUUGUAUGUCUACUUGUUAAUAAGUACUUGACAGGGGGCGCAUGGGUGGCUUAGUGGGUUAAAGCCUCUGCCUUCGGCUUAGGUUGUGAUCU